GGUCUCAUGAUCUAACGGUUAUGAUUCCAGACUUUGAAUCUGGCAGCCCGAGUUCGACUCUCGGUGAGACCU